rnacentral:lncRNA from 1 species
AGGUUUUGCGAGGUGCACAUUACGGACGUAAAUGUGACAUUUGGAGUUUAGGAUGUUGCGUCAUAGAAAUGGCAACCUCUCAACACCCGUGGGGAACUGAACAUAGCGAUAAUCAUCUUGCGUUAAUGUUUAAGAUUGCUAGCGCAAACUGUUCUCCUUCCAUACCUCAAUCGCUUGGACCUGGAUUACGUGAUUUGGUACUUAGAUGUUUAGAAAUAAAGGAGUCCGAUCGUCCGACCUCCCAUGAACUACUGCAACAUGCAAUAUUUCGAAUUUAAAAUCGAUUUUUAACAACUUGUAAAUAUUGACACAACAAAUUUAUUAAGAAACAUACUCCACAAGUUUAAUUGUGGAAAAUUGUUGUAUAUACACGCAUAUUUUUAUGGAUUAUACUGAAAUGUUUUUAUCGUGUAAAAAGUUCUGUUCAGUAUGAAAAAGAGUUAUAUAUAGGA